rnacentral:tRNA from 1 species
GUGCCUAUAGCUCAAGUGGUAGAGCGUUGCUCUAUAAAAGCAAAUGUUAUCGGUUCGAGUCCGAUUUGGUAUA